CCUACGGGCUGCACCAGUGGGGAAUAUUGCACAAUGGGCGCAAGCCUGAUGCAGCCAUGCCGCGUGUAUGAAGAAGGCCUUCGGGUUGUAGAGUACUUUCAGCGGGGAGGAAGGUGUUGUGGUUAAUAACCACAGCAAUUGACGUUACCCGCAGAAGAAGCACCGGCUAACUCCGUGCCAGCAGCCGCGGUAAUACGGAGGGUGCAAGCGUUAAUCGGAAUUACUGGGCGUAAAGCGCACGCAGGCGGUUUGUUAAGUCGGAUGUGAAAUCCCCGGGCUCAACCUGGGAACUGCAUUCGAAACUGGCAAGCUUGAGUCUUGUAGAGGGGGGUAGAAUUCCAGGUGUAGCGGUGAAAUGCGUAGAGAUCUGGAGGAAUACCGGUGGCGAAGGCGGCCCCCUGGACAAAGACUGACGCUCAGGUGCGAAAGCGUGGGGAGCAAACAGGAUUAGAUACCCCAGUAGUC
rnacentral:rRNA from 1 species